rnacentral:rRNA from 1 species
UACGUAGGCGGAAAAUUUAGUCAGUGGUGAAAUCCCGCAGCUUAACUGUGGAACUGUCAUUGAUACUGGUUUUCUUGAAUUUAGUUGAGGUAGGCGGAAUGUGUAAUGUAGCGGUGAAAUGCUUAGAUAUUACACAGAACACCGAUUGCGAAGGCAGCUUACUAAGCUAUGAUUGACGCUGAGGUACGAAGGCGUGGGGAGCGAACAGGAUUAGAUACCCUGGUAGUCC